rnacentral:ncRNA from 2 species
AAAGAAGUUAGAGGUCGCAACUUUAAUCAGUAGUACUUCAGAAGUUUGAUGAAACAUAUGUUGAAAGUACGAAAGGUAACGUUGCCGAAACAAAGCGUAUUCAUCGUACGUUUUGUUGGGCCAAUUGCCGAAAGGAAUUGGACUGUCACAACAUGUGAUGUGCUACCUAUAUA